AUUUUAUCAAGAAUGAGGGAGAGAAUUAGCUCUAUGAACUCAUACCAACCUGCAUAAAGUAAGGUGGUACAGCUAAUAACGAUGAAAG
rnacentral:ncRNA from 2 species